rnacentral:piRNA from 1 species
CUUUUGGCUCUCUCAGCAGCACCAUGGC